rnacentral:rRNA from 1 species
CGGCAGCAUGAUCUAGCUUGCUAGAUUGAUGGCGAGUGGCGANNNNNUGNGUAAUACAUCGGAACGUGCCCUGUAGUGGGGGAUAACUAGUCGAAAGAUUAGCUAAUACCGCAUACGACCUGAGGGUGAAAGUGGGGGACCGCAAGGCCUCAUGCUAUAGGAGCGGCCGAUGUCUGAUUAGCUAGUUGGUGGGGUAAAGGCCCACCAAGGCGACGAUCAGUAGCUGGUCUGAGAGGACGAUCAGCCACACUGGGACUGAGACACGGCCCAGACUCCUACGGGAGGCAGCAGUGGGGAAUUUUGGACAAUGGGCGAAAGCCUGAUCCAGCAAUGCCGCGUGUGUGAAGAAGGCCUUCGGGUUGUAAAGCACUUUUGUCCGGAAAGAAAUGGCUCUGGUUAAUACCUGGGGUCGAUGACGGUACCGGAAGAAUAAGGACCGGCUAACUACGUGCCAGCAGCCGCGGUAAUACGUAGGGUCCAAGCGUUAAUCGGAAUUACUGGGCGUAAAGCGUGCGCAGGCGGUUGUGCAAGACCGAUGUGAAAUCCCCGAGCUUAACUUGGGAAUUGCAUUGGUGACUGCACGGCUAGAGUGUGUCAGAGGGGGGUAGAAUUCCACGUGUAGCGGUGAAAUGCGUANAAA